UUGAUCACCAGCGGAGUAUCAAUACUCCAGCAUCUAUCUAUCUGCUUAUCCAUCUAUCUGUCAAGGAAACCCUCCGGGUGAAACUGAAGACCUCUCCAUGAGAUUCAUAAGGUACUUCACAUGAUGGACAAACAGGCAAUGAUAAACCCGUGUCAGUGAGGCGGCGUCUAUCUCAUUGGAGGCCAAGUUUCUUCCUGCUCCUCCUUCUCCUCCUCCCUUAUUUGCAGAGGACACUUGCAUCUUGUCAAUACGCACUCCGCUUUAAACCCAAUCAGCAGGUUCGCUCUGAUAUCCCUUCAUAUUCCUGUCCGCGGAUGAAAACACGAUUACUUACGCCGCUCCAUUCCUUGCUCUCUUUUGAACAGACUCCCACCACCAUAGCUACAGCCCCCAAAGCUUCUUUUUUGCCCUUGUGCUUAUAUUUUAAAAAGUACACCGACAUUCCCAACACCCCUACAAUGUCGCAAGGUACCAAAGCCAUGGACCCUGUUCCGAACUCUAAUCCAAAUGCAAAUACAACUCCAUCCCUCUUCUCUCCAGCGUCCGUCCUCUGGGCACACCAACUCCGACGCGAACACAACACCCUCGUCUCCCGCCUCGACGCGCUCGAAGAGACUCUGGCAUCCUCUUCUGCUAAGGCAAUCACAACGACGGAAGAAUUGAAGUCGGAUAUCGAGACGAGGGUGAAGGAGGUUGGUGAUGUACUUGGUGUGACUCAGGGCGAGGUUGAGAUGAUUAAAGGGAGUAUUGAAGAGUUGAACGGGUGGAAGGAAGAUUUUGAACAG
rnacentral:sRNA from 1 species